AUUGGCUAAGAUAGAUAAGAUCUAUCUUCUUUGUCAUACAAAAUGCUCUGUGUGUGUAUCCUUUGCAUGGGUUGCUGGAGGUGCAGCUUCAGGGAAGACAACAGUUUGUGAUAUGAUCAUCGAGCAGCUUCAUGCUCAGCGUGUUGUACUUGUCAACCAGGACUCAUUCUAUCAUAAUUUGACUGCUGAAGAACUUACAAGGGUUCAUGAGUACAACUUCAAUCAUCC